CUUAUAUCAAUUUCAGCUGAGUUAGGAAACAUGCUUUCUUUUUUAAUUGGUUCAUUUGAGAUCCUUCCAUCAAGCCCAGUUCUUUAAAAGAGAGAAGGCUUUUGCACGUUUGAAUCUCUUCAUUGGGGGAGCAGGAGGUGCAAAGCUGUGAGGAGUGCUGAGCACAGACCUUCCUUAGGGAAAGUGGAGCAUAAGCAGCAGAAAGGAUUGUAACUGAGAUUGCGUAAAUCAGUUUAAAUUUAAUAAGGUGGAAAACUGAGGCACAGAGCAUCACUGAGACACGGCUUUCCCAGGUUAUUGAGCUUGGAAAUAACACUGGGGGUCAGUGCAAGCUCACAGCCAUUCAGAGCACAGUCAUCUUUUCAGAUUAUGGGACACUUUCCGUCCUACACCAAUGCAACCACCUGAGAAGGAUGAUCUACUAUUUCAGCACUCUUCACCAUCUGGUGAAACACUUCACAGAAGAAAACGGUCUUGCGAUGUCUAAUUUUGCCAUGUUUUUGGAACAUUAUUUUAAUGAUCUUUGUGUCAUUUAAGUAUGAUUACUUGUCCUCCAAGGCUUUUCCUGUUUAUACUUAAAUAGUAUUGGAGUAUAGCCAAGCACACUUUAAAGGGAAUGGUACAAAAUACUACAUUUUUAUCAUAGAAGCUUAAAAGCAACAUUUACAAUUAGGGGACAUAGCUGGCAUUUUGCAUUCUGGUAGGUUUUUUGUUUUGAUCUUAUUGUAGUAGUAGAUAAAUAAAAUUAAUUAAGCAAGCAUAAUUACCAGUUAAAUUUUACAAAAUACUGAAGAAAUGGAGGGCCUAAUUCAAAGGGGUGGUAAUGGUGUAAAUAAUUAAGUCAAAUUGUUUUCAUUUUCAUGCUGCAUAUUGUUUCCUUCAGCCUGUAAUGGUACGAGGCAAAGUAUUAGCAGUGCUAGAACUAGACAAAUAAUAGAUAAAUUUAUUCAUAAACACUUUGUGGAUUGUAAUUAGAAGUUCACUGCAGCAGCUUUCACUGGUCUUUAUUUUAUUCUCUAGUUUCUGUAAAUAUUUGCUAGAGUAAAUUUUUGCUUUGAAGAAUGUAGACAGAAGCAGAAUACUCCAGGAGGGUGUUGCAAAAUUGUCUCUGUUUCUCAGCCCCAAGGGCAGCCAGGUGCCUGCAGUCGACCCGCUGGGGGCUGUGGGUUGCAGGGCAUUUCUGAGCCCCUGUGGGAUGAGUUUCCCUUCUUUCAUUGCUUAAUUCCUGAAAUAGAACUUUUCCAGCCAGGAGAUAGAAAUUACCUGGCAGGGACUGCCAAUAAACCCACCAGACCUCAGGGCUCUGACGGUGAUUUCUGCUAGAAGAUGGAGCCUGGCAAAAGAAACGAUUGUGCAGGGUAAACGCAGCACUGAACGCGGGGGAAUGUGAUCGCUUCAGGUAGAAAGAGAAUAGCACACUUGCUCAAAGGAUUUCUUUUCACAAAACACCUUCACCCACCAGACCAAGCUCUCAAAGCAAGCACAAGGUACGACGCCUUUGCCUAGGCAGGUAGGCAGAAACCUUUUCUUAAAAGCCCCUGGACAUGCUGGUGUGACCGAGAGCAAGAAGCAUUAUUGGUGUGACCGAGAGCAAGAAGCACUUCAGUGGCCAGCUGGUAAAGGAUGGCAUCCAGACUGAGCAUAAGGGAUGUACAAAUGAUGCAGAGGCAGCAGCAGUGGGGGUUGCUCAGUGCUUAGCAGCUUCUCAGGUGGGCGUCGCCUCUUUAGGUAUUGGGCCUCGGGGCCUUUUUUGGUUUUGUUUGACCAGGAGCAGCUACCUACCUUUUGGAUGAGGAUUCAUUCAGCUCAGCUCUCCUAGGCUGCUGGGAGAAGCCUCUCAGCCUGCUAUCACAUUGUAUUUCAGGGAACCCAGCUGUGCUGGGGCUUCCCGCCCCCCCGCCCCGGAGCUCCUGCCCUGCAUCCCUGCGGAGGCACCAGCCCACGCUUGGCUUACGGACAGACAAGGCAGCAGGAAGUGCUGAUUGCUGAUGCAAGAUCCCAGCCCAUCACAUCUUCAGGAGACUGCCCGAGGCAAGAAGGUUCCUGAGGUUUCCUGAGAAGAGUGAACAACAUCAGCACAAAAUGCAGUGAUACCAGCUGCUCACAGAGCAAGCAUUGGCAGGGGAUUCACAGAGCGGUGUAGGGGCUCACGCAAAACAGUCCUCUUUUCCCAAACUACCCAUGAGCCAGGCCAAAUUAAUUCCUCAAGUAUAAUACAUUUUAGCAGUAUUGGAUAAGAUGGCACAGACUGAAGCAAACUUACAGUUAGCGUUGUUCCUUUUUUCUUCUUUUGCAAUUACACCUCUGUUCCUGAGCUCCUUCGGGCAGUGUGCUGAUACCUGUGUGAACACUCCGGGAGGUUGCGUGCAUCUCUGCUGUGACAUGGGCACACGUUAUUUCUUAGGUGCAUCUUCCAGUCAUCAGUGUUAUUGCUAGCAUUUAUUGCUGCUUUUAUAAAGUGCAUCUGGACAAAGGUUGCAAACUGCUGAUCGAGACUGAACAGCAAAUGGCUGAAUGCAAAUAGUCUUGAAAAUUCCCUUUGCAAGGGGUGAGAAGGCAAAGGACCAUGCAUCAUGAAUUGCUGCCAUAAUACACGCUCACAUUUUGACAUCUAUAGCUUUCAUUUGAGAGUCCUGCACGUUGUUGCUUGUCUUGCUCUUUUCUCUAUAGUUGCAUCUACACACUCACCACUACAGCUCUUUGAGAUCUUUGGUGUGCUACACAAUCACUUGGCAGCUUGGCCUGUCUCUGGCUCUACCACCAGAACAGGGAUAAUCUUCAAGUCCACCUGUAAAUUUUUCAUGUUUCAACAGCCAGGCUUUAUACCACUUUAUACCUUCACUAGCAUCGCUGAAGCCCUCUGACAUCUGCAACGAGGUUCUCUCAUCCUCAUUUCUGCUAGGACAGAUUGUGCCAAAACCCAUCGUGGUUCUGUAGCUGUGCAGGCACUGCCCUGCGGGUUGGAAGUCACCAUCUAGAUCAGGACUGACGAUUAUAAAAAUCCUUGUAUGGCAAGGCCUGCAUCACGGCUGCCUGGCUUAUAUUUGAUUACUUGAUUUACUUAUCUUCAUGAACAUGCACUUCUUUCCUAAACUUUUUUUAGAAGUAUUACCAUGAAAUAGUUCCUCCAAGAGCAAUAAAGAAGUCUCAAUAUUUUUAAGUCCAUCAAAAAAGACUUUGCUACAGUAUUAAAUACAGGUGCCUUCAGGGAUAAUCUUCUUCUUACCUAAAACAGACCCUGCCUAUACAUAAAAACAGAGUUCUGACUUUUUUUUUUUUUGGUGUAAUUCACAAUUUUGCUCACACCAGAACUGUUACAGUGAUUCCAUCAGCUGUCAUUUAACAGCACAUCUCUACCCAGUAUACCAAGACGUGCUAAGUCCCUCACGUGAAAGUCACGAGUUAUGUCAAAAUAAAUGACAACCAACUGGUCAAACUACUUACAGCAGGAAAGAAAAUACUGAGAAAGAGCAGCUGAGGACAGCAGUAACCACCGGCAGGAUGAGGACCAGGUGUAUGGCAAGAAACUUUCAGAUUUACAUUGGAUGCUGUUCCUUAGUGAGUUCACAUCCAUCUGUCAGCUUCACUUGGGACCACGCUCCCUGAUUCAAACUGAUAGCAAGUAUCUGAGUCAAAUAAGUGAGUAUUUUUGCUAAAUGUUGUCUGUCACAUCAUGUUACUCCACUUCGGUUUUUUCACCAUAUGUACUAACAUGAUGUGGUGUAACAUAGCAGCAUGCAGCAUAAAUGAUUUAAUGUGAUAUGACAGAAAAAUAUUGCUGCAUCUUUUGGAAUAAACACCUGCUUUUAGCAGUUAUUUUAUCUGCUGGAAGCAGUUUCUUAAAACACAUAACCUGGGUCCUCGUAAAGUACAUUGCACUUUGGUGUUUGUGUAUCUUUAAAACACUCCAUAAUGUGUACUUUGUCUGUUUUCUUUUAUUCCAGAAGCCAUGUUCCCUUACAGGGUUGGGGUUUUUUUUGUGCUUUUCUUUUCAAUAGAAGGAAAAAAUUGUCUUACAAAAACUGAGGGGAAAGGAACUAACCUUAACCAUGAACGGAGGAGACCUAUGGAAAAAGUUCUUACUAUGGAAUGAAAAUACUGACUCCAUUAAGAGAGAAGAAUGUAUUUACCCAAAGAAAUCCUUCCAUUUGUGUGCGAAUCCGUGAAAUCUAAUUAAAUUGGCACCCAUAACUCUGUACUUCUCAUUUGGAGGACCUUCAUCUCCAGCUGGAAGAGCUUCAUCCUCCAGGUUAUCGUUACAGAAGAGGAAAGGGGAACAAAAUGCAAGUGACUUUCAGCUAAUCAGAUUGUGCAGUUCAAAACAGAGAUGCAUUUCAGAAACAAAUACAUAAAUUCAGUUCACCACAGUCUUUUCAAAAUGAAUAAAACCAUUCCCAUGAAGUCAGGCAUGUGGUUUCUGCAAGCUGGAGCUCGCAGAGACAUUUGGCAUGUUCUUUGUAUAGCUGGCACCUUUUGAAGAAAAGCCUACAACUGUCACUGGGUACCUAUAAGAUUUCCACCAGCUGUCCUGCUUGCCACUUGCCCAGGAAAAGAUGCCACUUUGAUACAUGGCAUGCAAGCAUAAUGCUAAAUUUCAAAGAGGAACCACAAACACGGGGCCAGGGUUGUGGCUGGAGAGGAGGAAAGGGCCUUUGGUGCUGCAGGGGGGUGGGAAAUGGGCUGCUGAUUUCUCAGAAGCUGUCACCCAGACAGCAGCAUGGUGGCCAUGGGGAUCCCUGGGGUCCUCCCCUGGUCCCCGGGCAGCAGCCAGCCCCAGCAGUGUGGUGCUCCUCAUCAGGAAGGGGAGCUCCAUGGGGCUGCAGAGAGCACAGAGAGCCAAAUCCUGCAGUUUUUCUCAAUGCAAAGCACCUUUUGACCUCCAGUAAAAAUUAAGCACUUGGAGGGAUUGGGCAAAACAGAUUUUAAUUUAUAAUAAAAGUGAGAACACAGGACACCACUGCCUGUAUUUUUACAAAGGCCCCCAAAAGCUCACUUGCUACAUGAGCCCAGCAAGUUGGCAAUGUAUUUUAAUGUAUUUAUUUCAUUAUGCAUUCAUUCUUUCAUUCAUUCAUCUAUUCAGUCAUUCAUUCAGACACUUGUUCAUUCAUCCCUGUCCUUUUGCAGGAAGAGAACAUAAGCCAGCAGUGGCAUACUUCUUCACUGUCCUGAUUUACAGCGACGUCUCUGAGUUUGUAUCAAUAAAUCUCUUUGGCCCUCCUCA